UACGAAGGGGGCUAGCGUUGCUCGGAAUCACUGGGCGUAAAGCGCACGUAGGCGGCUUCUUAAGUCAGGGGUGAAAUCCUGGAGCUCAACUCCAGAACUGCCUUUGAUACUGAAGAUCUUGAGUUCGGGAGAGGUGAGUGGAACUGCGAGUGUAGAGGUGAAAUUGUAGAUAUUCGCAAGAACACCAGUGGCGAAGGCGGCUCACUGGCCCGAUACUGACGCUGAGGCACGAAAGCGUGGG
rnacentral:rRNA from 1 species